GACGAACGCUGGCGGCGUGCUUAACACAUGCAAGUCGAACGGAAAGGCCCUGCUUUUGUGGGGUGCUCGAGUGGCGAACGGGUGAGUAACACGUGAGUAACCUGCCCUUGACUUUGGGAUAACUUCAGGAAACUGGGGCUAAUACCGGAUAGGAGCUCCUGCUGCAUGGUGGGGGUUGGAAAGUUUCGGCGGUUGGGGAUGGACUCGCGGCUUAUCAGCUUGUUGGUGGGGUAGUGGCUUACCAAGGCUUUGACGGGUAGCCGGCCUGAGAGGGUGACCGGCCACAUUGGGACUGAGAUACGGCCCAGACUCCUACGGGAGGCAGCAGUGGGGAAUAUUGCACAAUGGGCGGAAGCCUGAUGCAGCAACGCCGCGUGCGGGAUGACGGCCUUCGGGUUGUAAACCGCUUUCGCCUGUGACGAAGCGUGGGUGACGGUAAUGGGUAAAGAAGCACCGGCUAACUACGU
rnacentral:rRNA from 1 species